AUUGAACGCUGGCGGCAUGCCUUACACAUGCAAGUCGAACGGCAGCACGUGAGCAAUCCUGGUGGCGAGUGGCGAACGGGUGAGUAAUAUAUCGGAACGUGCCCAGUAGUGGGGGAGAACUGCUCGAAAGAGCAGCUAAUACCGCAUACGACCUGAGGGUGAAAGGGGGGGAUCGCAAGACCUCUCGCUAUUGGAGCGGCCGAUAUCAGAUUAGCUAGUUGGUGGGGUAAAGGCCUACCAAGGCAACGAUCUGUAGUUGGUCUGAGAGGACGACCAGCCACACUGGGACUGAGACACGGCCCAGACUCCUACGGGAGGCAGCAGUGGGGAAUUUUGGACAAUGGGCGCAAGCCUGAUCCAGCAAUGCCGCGUGCAGGAAGAAGGCCUUCGGGUUGUAAACUGCUUUUGUCAGGGAAGAAAUCCUCUAGGUUAAUACCCUUGGGGGGAUGACGGUACCUGAAGAAUAAGCACCGGCUAACUACGUGCCAGCCGCCGCCGUAAUAC
rnacentral:rRNA from 1 species